UUGUUCUUUAAAUGAGGACUCGUAUCAACGGCAUCACGAGGAUCCUACUGUCUCCCCCCUCUAAUCGGUGAAACUGAUCUCUCCGUGAAGAAGCGGAGAUGUACAUAUAAGACGAGAAGACCCCAUGGAGCUUUAAACCCAACAACACCCGCCCCCCUCCAAAUCCUAUUAUUUACCCGGUGAUUGUUUGUUUGGUUUUAGGUUGGGGUGACCGCGGAGUAUAAGAUAUCCUCCAUGAAAAAAAGCUAACUGCCCUUAUUAGAGAAAGACACUUCCAAAAAAUAAUAAAUUAAUUUUAAAUGAUCCGACAUUCGAUCAACGAACCAAGUUACCCUGGGGAUAACAGCGCAAUCCGUCCCGAGAGCCCCUAUCGACAGGCGGGUUUACGACCUCGAUGUUGGAUCAGGGUAUCCCAGUGGUGCAGCAGCUACUAAAGGUUCGUUUGUUCAACGAUUAAAACCCU
rnacentral:rRNA from 1 species